rnacentral:rRNA from 1 species
CCAACNGCGGCAGGCUAACACAUGCAGUCGAACGGACCCUUCGGGGUUAGUGGCGGACGGGUGAGUAACACGUGGGAACGUGCCUUUAGGUUCGGAAUAGCUCCUGGAAACGGGUGGUAAUGCCUGAAUUGUGCCCUUCGGGGGAAAGAUUUAUCGCCUUUAGAGCUGUGCCCUGCGUUCUAGAUUAGCUAGUUGGUAAGGUAAAAUGCUUACCAAGGCUGACGAUCAGUAGCUGGUCUGAGAGGAUGACCAGCCACACUGGUGACUGAGACACGGCCCAGACUCCUACGGGAGUGCAGCAGUGGGGAAUCUUGCGCAAUGGGCNGAAAUGCCUGACGCAGCCAUGCCUGCUGUGAAUGAUAGAACGUGUCUUAGGAUUGUAAAAUUCUUUCACCGUGGGACGAUAAUGACUGUGUACCCGGGAGAACGAAGCCCACUGGACUAACUUCGUUGCACANGCAUGUCUGCUGUGUAAUACGAAGGGGGCUAGCGUUUGCUCGGAAUUAACAUUGGUGCCAGUAAAAAGGGCANGCUGUACGCAGGAUCGUUCAACGUCACGAGNUGUGAAAUCCCAAGAUGGACAUCAACACCUGNGAAACUGCCUUUUGAUACUUGGGCUNAUCUUGGAGUUAUCGACGAAAGANGCGUAAUAGUGGGAAACUCCACAGAAAGUUGUAGAAGGUGAAAUUUACUGGUUAAGAAUUAUUUCAGGAAAUGGAAACAACAAUGUGGGAGGAANNGCNGACAAUAACAUGGGCUCCNAUUUNNCAUUGGACUGNCUUGAAGUGAUGCGAAAAAGACAGUNUGGAAGAACAAACACAGGAAUAAGAUAAACCANNAUGGAUAAGUAANAGNNCCGNAAAACGAUGGAAAUGG